GUGGGGACUCUAAACAGACUGCCUGUGCAAACAGAGAGGAAGGAGGGGACGACGUCAAGUCAUCAUGGCCCUUACGUCCGGGGCUACACACGUGCUACAAUGGACGGUACAGAGGGCAGCUAGCCGGCAACGGUAUGCGAAUCUCACAAAGCCGUUCACAGUUCGGAUUGGGGUCUGCAACUCGACCCCAUGAAGUUGGAUUCGCUAGUAAUCGCGUAUCAGCAAUGACGCGGUGAAUACGUUCCCGGGCCUUGUACACACCGCCCGUCAAGCCAUGGAAGUUGGGGGUACCUAAAGUAUGUAACCGCAAGGAGCGUCCUAGGGUAAAACCGAUAACUGGGGCUAAGUCGUAACAAGGUAGCCGUACCGGAAGGUGCGGCUGGAAUACCUCCUUUCU
rnacentral:rRNA from 1 species